AAGACUGAUAAAAAUCCUGCGAAAUUCCUUUCUUUUUUUGACACAGGCAAAUACUAGUAUUGGACGAAGUCAUUCUGUUGAUUUACGAACGGAUAGAAAAAGAUCCAUCCGGCAUAGCCGUGUAAAAGUGUAAAAAUGCGUAUCGGCAAAUUUAAUUCUGGAGGUAACCUUGGGAUGAACUAGCAUCCCAUCCAGGGAGAGUGGAAAUACUCCUAGUCGCUUCAUGCUACAGAAACCGGGAUAAGCUCCGGCCUGAUGGGCCACUUGGCUUCAGACUUAACCUUGCAAAACUGAACCCACUCAAGGCUAUGAGGGAUGGGCACGUUGGUCAGCCAGACCCAAGAUAUGUUUUAAUUGACACAUCAAUAAGAUUACAGCAAAACGGAUAACCGUUUCAUCGAUAUCCUACGUGGACCAAAGACAGACAGGUAAACCCUAAAACCUCUAAUUAGGAAGACUCGGGACCGUGUACCCACGAUUAAACCUUUGGGGUUUUAAUACAUAAUAAAAGAAUGAGAGAUAAAUUAAAUAACACUAUUUACACAACACUAGAGCAAAAUUGUACCUUAUCCCAAUUUGCGAGUGGCAAGACUGACUGUAGAAUGUCACAAGUUGGUUCACACCUACAAUCCUGGUCACAAGUGUUGGGACAGUUCACGGCGGAUGACUUCACAGGCAGCCUCUCUUAAGACCAAGACCCCCUCCCCCUGUCAAUGUUGAUAAAAAUCUUGAAGAAAUAAAACCUUGAAAAUAGCUUCAGAAUAGCCACGUUUCAAGAAUUGUUCGCCUCCUAGGACAGUAUUCUCCAACUAAAGAGACGAUAAGAUAGAUAUUUACGUCUUAUUCCAAUAAUAACGAUUUUUCAGCAAUCACGUUCGGUUCCAACACAACUGUCUAACCACUUUCUAUUGUCCCUUUUUCCUUUUUAACCACAUCCGAUCUAGUCUUCAGAAUAGCUUCACUUUCUUUCAACAUUGCUAGGGGGGAGGGGGGUCAAUUAUACUUGCUUCUAUUCAUCUUUUUUUCUAAAACGUCAAGGACAUAGUUGAAAUCGUGGAUUUUAGCGCGCAAACGGGGAGGCGUCCUAACAACUUAUGGCCAGGAUUGUAGACACAACUUAGAGAAAUAAAUUCGCGUUUUUCAAUCAUUCUUUUUCCCAACUGCUGUUAUCACGUUUGUCAUAGAUACUCUCUCACACUUCCGAGCAAUAUGUUAAUAUUGGAAGAGAAGAGUAUCAAAAAGCUUAUUUUAACCCAAAGAAAUCAAGGUGAACCUUAGUUUAAGAUUGUUAACAAUUUGAAGAGUUCUUCGUUAAAGAGAAAUUCAUGUUAGUCUUUUAGUGAUUCUCCUCUUUUCUUCUUUUCUUCUUUGGACUGAUUAACUGCUGAGUAGCCAAUCCUGACAGUGUAGUGAUAAUCUGUUAAGAUUGUCUUGUAAUCAUUCACCUGAGUUACAGAUCAGAAGUUAAUCGUCUCCACAAAGAAGACAAUUCAGUAUCGACGCAUGCUCCUUUUUCAGGCAGUGUGGCGUUCGGCAGCGCGUACGGUGCCGGGAUGCCGUCGGGCUGGA
rnacentral:lncRNA from 1 species